rnacentral:rRNA from 1 species
AUUGAACGCUGGCGGCAGGCCUAACACAUGCAAGUCGAACGAGUGGCGGACGGGUGCGUAAUGUCUGGGAAACUGCCUGAUGGAGGGGGAUAACUUCUGGAAACGGUAGCUAAUACCGCAUACCAUCAGAUGUGCCCAGAUGGGAUUAGCUGGUUGGUGGGGUAACGGCUCACCAAGGCGACGAGCCCUAGCUGGUCUGAGAGGAUGACCAGCCACACGGGAACGGCGACACGGGCCAGACGCCGACGGGAGGCAGCAGGGGGGAAGAGUGCACAAUGGGCGCAAGCCUGAUGCAGCCAUGCCGCGUGUAUGAAGAAGGCCUUCGGGUUGUAAAGUACGGUCAGCGGGGAGGCGUUACCCGCAGAAGAAGCACCGGCUAACUCCGUGCCAGCAGCCGCGGUAAUUC